rnacentral:rRNA from 1 species
AGGGUUUGAUCAUGGCUCAGGAUGAACGCUGGCGGCAUGCUUAAUACAUGCAAGUUGAACGAGAAUAGUAAAAGCUUGCUUUUACUAGGACAGUAGCGAACGGGUGAGUAAUACGUAAGAAUCUGCCCUUUGGAGGAGGAAAACGGUUGGAAACGACCGCUAAUCCUGCAUAUGCCAUUGGUGAAAGGUCUCUAACACGAGAUUGCCAAAGGAUGAGCUUACGCCUGAUUAGCUAGUUGGUGGGGUAAAAGCCUACCAAGGCAACGAUCAGUAGCUGGUCUGAGAGGAUGAUCAGCCACACUGGGACUGAGACACGGCCCAGACUCCUACGGGAGGCAGCAGUAGGGAAUUUUCCGCAAUGGGCGAAAGCCUGACGGAGCAAUGCCGCGUGGAGGGUGAAGGCCUAUUGGGUUGUUAACUCCUUUUCCCAGAGAAGAAACCUGACGGUAUCUGGGGAAUAAGCAUCGGCUAACUCCGUGCCAGCAGCCGCGGUAAUACGGGGGAUGCAAGCGUUAUCCGGAAUUAUUGGGCGUAAAGAGUCCGUAGGUUGUUAUCAAAGCCUAUUGUUAAAUCUCAAGGCUUCACCUUGAAUCUGCAGUAGGAACCUGAUAACUUGAGUGCGGUAGGAGUAGGGGGAAUUCCCGGUGUAGCGGUGAAAUGCGUA